rnacentral:rRNA from 1 species
AAGGAAUUGCUUAUUGCACCACAUGUGUUUUUCUUUGAAACAAACUUGCUUUGGCGGUGGGCCCAGCCUGCCGCCAGAGGUCUAAACUUACAACCAAUUUUUUAUCAACUUGUCACACCAGAUUAUUACUAAUAGUCAAAACUUUCAACAACGGAUCUCUUGGUUCUCGCAUCGAUGAAGAACGCAGCGAAAUGCGAUACGUAAUAUGAAUUGCAGAUAUUCGUGAAUCAUCGAAUCUUUGAACGCACAUUGCGCCCUCUGGUAUUCCGGAGGGCAUGCCUGUUUGAGCGUCGUUUCUCCCUCAAACCGCUGGGUUUGGUGUUGAGCAAUACGACUUGGGUUUGCUUGAAAGACGGUAGUGGUAAGGCGGGAUCGCUUUGACAAUGGCUUAGGUCUAACCAAAAACAUUGCUUGCGGCGGUAACGUCUACCACGUAUAUCUUCAAACUUUGACCUCAAAUCAGGUAGGACUACCCGCUGAACUUAAGCAUAUCAAUAGCCGGAGGAA